AGAAUACAGUAAACCAGCACUUUACUUGUUUAGUGGUACUAAAUGUACAGUGUAGGUUUUAGUUUGUCUCUGAAUAAAUGCUGCAGAAAGAAAGUUCUCGUGUCUUGCUUCUCAAAAUCGCAACAAAACACACAGAGCGUGUGGGAGAGCAGCGGUCACUUG